UAAAUUGGUUAGUCUCUAAGGUGCCACAAGUCCUCCUUUUCUUUUUGCGGAUACAGACUAACACGGCUGUUACUCUGACUCCUAGUAUCUGUUACCUUGAGUUGAGCCAGUGCUUAUUGGCUCAGCAAAUACCAAAGACGCUAAGGAGCUGCUAUGGGGAACCGGAGAUCUGAUGCAAAGGUAAAAACUAGUUCUACCAUCAUAUAAAAAUACUCUCCACCAGCUUUCUCAGAGAGAGAUUAACCUACGCUAACGUGGUGACCAUUAGCCUCCGGCACAGAGGCUGAGUUUGAUCAGCUCAGGCAGCUGGCCCUGGUGGUGUGCACAGAAAAGUGAACGGUUACUGCAGGUUUUCGUAAACAAGGCCAGUUCAGUGGAGGGUGAUGGGGUGUACCAACCCCACCCGGGGCCAGAAGGGGUUAGUGAGAGCCUGCAGGAGCUCAAUCAACCCUGCCCUGCUACACCUGCCAUGGUGUCAAGCCUGGAGGGAGGCAUUAAAGGGCUGAACCUGGUGCAGGUGUGGCUGGCUAUGAGGGAGAGCAGGUGCUUGGCUCUCACUCAAGCAGGGAAGCUUGGCCGGAGCCAGGAGCUGAGGUGACCUGCUGGCAGACAGGGUCUCCCUGAAGGUAGUUAGGCCUGCAACAGGGAGCCCAAGGCAAUUGGGAAGGGAAGUGGCAGGGAGUGAGUCUGCCCAGGGCUGCAUGCUGGGUCAGAGACUACCCUUCCAGAGAGAGAGAACUUCCCUCCUGCAGAAUCAGCUGGCCAGCAGGAAGCUCUGCAGGGAGCCUGGGGAAGAGGCUUGGAGGGAGUGGCCCUGAUACACCAAGAGUCUGGGAAAAGGCUGUGAGAGAGGCCCAAGACACAGCAACAUAGGAAGAGAUUCCACAGAGACAGCAAGAGGUCUGCGUAGUCAGGCCUUGGCUGCUGAUUCAAGGGUCCCUAUCCGCCCACUAAGUAAGGUGGAGCAGAAACCCCCCAACAAGGGGGGAGGACUGAUGAAGUCCCCUGAUGCUACGUGUAAGGACUAGUGAAACUGGAGUCAGACCCAAAGCCCAUUGCGAGGUCGGUGGACUGCUUGUCGGACCAUUGGUUUACCGUGGAAGGAGUGGGACUAUGCGUGACCAGCCAGAGGGCCGAGCCGCAAGAAGAAGCAGACCAGGGCCCCAGUGCCUUCAGCAAGGGAUGCAGAAGGAGAGCCUGUGUCCCAUGAGCAGCUCCCUGGGGCUGGGCUGGCUGGCCUGCAAACGAGCCUGCAGAGAUGUUCCCUUCUGCUUGGAACGUACUGCAGAGCAGCAGCUACGCAGGAGAGGAGAGCAAAUCCAGAUUCUGAAUCCACUGGAUUGAUCAAGAACGUUAAAUAAGAGAACACACAAAGCACCAAGAGAAUGCAACCAUGCUUUGUUGAGGCCAGCCAAACUCCAAAUGCCCUCAUUUUACACAUAAAGCAUGGAGACUGAAGAUGAAAAGAGGAGCACAGUAUACAAGGUCUUAUACACAGUAGCUGUUUUGUAAGGCAACAGUUCAUAACCCUGGCUGUAAAGCUCCCUCAGUACUGCUUGGCCAUUAUAUUACUGUACCCUUAGGAAGUAAGAAACCGAUACCACUGAUGCCAUUUUAUUUUAAGCUUGUGAGGCGACAUUACUGAACUGGAGCCUGUUGCCAGAUGCAUGCAGAUUUUUUUAGAUCAGUGACUAAUGAGGUCAAUGGAAUAAUUAAUGCAACAUGCAUCUUUCCUUUGUGCUGGAUUCUGAAGUCAAGGGAAGCUGAUGGAGAUCAGCACAUACAGUGUGCUCAGCAUAUUUCAGGAUACAUCUCACUAGAAAAUAUCAGAAUUGUGCAGAGGACAACCAGGCCCCAAAAAGGCAUUUUUAAAAUCUUUGCAAAAUGGACAGUCUCAAAUUACUGGCUCUGGCUGUAAUUCACUAUGUAAUAUACUCUGUAAUAUGGAACCAGGCAGCCUGGCUUCCAGGCCCUCAAGCUAAACAAUCUUAACAGCUAUGCUGUCCUAUCUGUGCCCAGAAAAGAAACACUUGAAAAUCGUGUCAUUGGGUUAGGAGGCCUAAAAAUAAGCAAAGAAACCCUACUGGCAGAAAGCAGCACCUUCUGUUUGUCCUGCUUGCAUUCACCACUGUCCUUUCUUUGCCACGUGCAGACUAAAAAAGUUAUUUAUUUUCUCCUUAAAUAGAACAUUUCAAGUUACGAGCAGUAUUGCCUGGGCAGCAAGCAAUACAGAUAGAACUAUUUAUAAUAAAAAUAAAGUAAGAGUUUCAGGAAACCCAGUAACUUUGAAACUGUGUGUAGUUAAUAUCUCUUGAACUCUUCGAGGCAACAGGUCUUGCCCCAGUGUUGAGUCCAAUCAAAAUGACCACAGAUCUGAGAGGCUGAGGCAGCACUGGAAUAUCAAGGAAAUGCAUAUUGUCUCUUACAAAGAGCCACCAAGCAGAAGUUGUUACACUGGGAAAAACUAAACUACGGUCCUGUUAAUGGGACAAAAAGAACCAAAACGGCAAUGAACUGUUUAUCAUAUAAAAAAUUAAAUAAAAAGACAAAUACAACAUUCAUCAACAUUGCUGUCAGUCAGUUAAGCUAAAGUGGUAUAGAUUUGUUUGCUAAGAGGAUAUGAGGGGUAAUUAUUUUUCAUUCCAAGAACCUGGAACAAACUGACAUCCUGUAGUUCCAUAGACAGCCAAGAGUGAGGUUCUCCAGAGCCAGAAAGAAAAAUGAGUAAGUCACCCAUCAUAUUACAAAGAUACGAUUUUAUUCUACGGGAAUAUUUCUGUAACUUCUAUCCAGGGAAAAGCAGAAAUUUUUGUUUAAAAACAAACCUAACAGGAUGUCUUGACUGUUUCCCUUGCUUAUUCAUUGAAAAAAUUUCACACAACUCCCUAAUAGAAAGGGGGGGGAAAAAACAACCUGACAAAGACAUUAUAGCUGCCCUCAUGAGCAAUGUCCAAGAAUUACAAUAAUUCAUGGAUAUCUCCUGUGAUGUGAGGUUCUGGGUAGACCUGCAUGCAACUGAGACACUUUUGUUCUGUUUUUUCGGGGCAAUGGGGUUGUGGGUUUUUGUUUUUUCCAACCAUACAGUAUCUGUUGUCGUCAGUUAAAGGCAUGGGGAUAUUUUUUCUUCUUGAAAAAACAUCAGCUGUCCGAACACAAACUGUGUGUUUGCUAUCUACCUACUUUUAAUAUUACUAUAGGGAGAAGGUUAGUAUUUAAACACUGUAAAAUUAAUGUAAUUGAGAUCAUUAAGCCUCCAAGUCUCUGGGUAGUUUAUUGGUAGGGUAAUAACGGCCAGGGUAUUUUCCCCCACAGCUUUAGGACAAGAUGUGAAAUAAACAGUCUCCCAUCAGAAAUGACAGACACAGAUGGACUUGGAUCAUACAGAAUCAGGGGCAGGUUUACUUUUCACACAGUUUUCUGUAUUAAAAAAUACAUCAGUGAAAUCCGUUACAGGCAGGGACAGGACUACCGAGUACACAACGUCAAUAGACUACUUUCCAAUUUUAUUGUUUAAAUUACCUUUGUUACUGCUAAAAGUAAAGAAAAUUAAAAAAACAAAUUUAAUUCAAGGCUGUUGAUUUUCAACUCCUGAAACUGCAGUGAGAGGGUCAGAUAUCAAAACCCCUGCUACAGAAGUUGGGCAACUGGCUGCAACUACUGAUUUAAAAAAAAAAAAAAAAAAAAAAAGUACAAUUCUCUUUAAAAAUAGUCUUGUAUUUAUGACCUGUCGUCCUCAGAAAUGAGCAUCUUAAGCUUAAGAAAAUGGAGAGACAGAUGUUAUCUAAUCAGUGUCCUGUCCUCUGGAUACAGUAUGGGAGAUUCCCCUUUUAAAAGAUACAGUAACAGCCAAGCCAUUGAAAAAAAUAUUUCAAUUUCCAACACUAUCACUAAAUUUCUUUGGGUGGGGUGGGGUAAAAAAACACACAAGGUACUUUUCUACCACAGUUCUGUUGUCAAAAGUAAUACUGCACAUGUUGCAAGGGUGGAAAGAGUAUCUUCACUUUGAAAUGACAAGGCCCUCCAGACUUGCACGGUAUAAAAACAAAGAAUUAGGGGGGAAUGGGAGAAAAAGGGAAGGAAAGCUGCCGUAUGACAAAAAAAAAAAAACCCAAACCAAAACAACUCCCUCCAAAACAACUAUUUUUGCGCACCACAGCAUUUGCUAGAUUACAUCAACAGAUUGCAGAGGCUAUUCAGGGGAUUUUCUGCACAUAGCCCUAGACUCUCGCUCUCCUAUAUGUAUUCCAGAGAUUUUUUGUCCCAUAACGUGAUUGCUCUGAUGCUUGACUUACAGCAUCUCCCGCACAUCAGAGAUCCAACAGAGUCGUAGUUACUAGCAUGGACUAAGAGCUAGACUCUGGGGUCAUGUGACUGUUUGAACGCAGCCCAGGUAGUCGUCCACUAGGGUAGUAAUCUGGCAGAUAUAACAUUGACUUCUGGCUUAAUAUCUUUCUUAAUCUUUGAUCCCAGUAAAAAAUAAAAUAAAACUAAAAAAGUGUGUGUAUACAUAACGGAAGGUGUCUAUUUGUCUAGACCUCACUGCACUUUGUCUCCUGUCCACAUGGAGAUCUCUAGGAUCUCCACAGGCUCUUUGGCAGCAAUGGCUGCCAGCCAUUGGGCUGCAAAGUCAUGUGAGCCACAGUCUAGUUCUCUAUGCCCAUGGUUACUAUGGUAGAAUUUAUACAACAGUUUGCUUAAAAAUAUUUCACAAUUUUGUUUUAAUCCCAAACAAAUGAAGGAUUUAUGCACCGCUUGAACAGGUUAAUUAAUCUUGAGUUUGUUUAGAGGAUUUAUCACUGCAUUGGACACGGGCGUUUCUUGCAGCUUAAAGUAGUUUGCUUCCUUCUGAUUCCAGUUUGCACAUCCAUUGUGGUUCAAAAUAUGCCUGUGUAGUGAUGUUAACUUGGCUUAUUUGAUACACAACGUUUUCUGAAGGCUGGAUGUGUUCACAGUUUGGUACUUGCAACGGGUAUUGAAAGGAAAAUACCCCACUUCAGUUAGUCUGACAAUUCAAUAUCAGAGUCCUCUGAUCUGACUUUGGCAAGUUCUUCGUGUACCUCCCUCACCAUAAGAAUACGUGUUAACAUGAUGUCCAAGGUCCCGGGGUCUAUUGGCAACGUGGAGUACCACAUAGGGCUAUUAGGUACACAAGACCGCUCAGGUUGAAGGUAAAACACAUCACUUCUCUGCUUCACGCUUUCAGAACUGUUAGUGUAAAGAAAGGAAGACUGUAUAUCAGAAGGCAGCUUUAUCAAUCCUGUUUACAACACAGUUCAAGACACAAAGGGAAAGUAUCUCAGCCCUAUUACCUGAUGUUACCUUGAGACGGAAUCACUACAAUUUAAACAGUAAAAUUUGGAUCUCCAUUCUAGUGACUCAAUCUCCGCCCUUCACUGCAGUGAGCUGACAAUCCGUCUCCAGUUUAAAGGGCAUUAGCUGUUUAUAGAACCAAACAGAAUAGCUGCGUCUCCUUAUGGAGCUGGUUCUUCAGUUGCAGUUUCAUCCCAUUACAUGAUAUCACCGUCUUAACAUAAUUAACGUUCAAUCUCUGAAUAAAACUGGUUCUCGUGUUCUAGGCAACAUGGGAGCUCCUGUAAGUAUAUGCAGACUAACUGCAUUACUGAUAUUUCCCAGGACACUGGAUAACUUUUGAAGCCUUCUUUGGGAUACUGAGGGUACCAGAGCCUAGCCUGCCUGUUAGUGAUAGCAGAAUGGUGAACCCAUUCACUUGAAAGACUGGCCUUCAGAAUCGGAGAGUGCCUUGCAGUCUUGCCUAGCAAGAAGAGUAAAGCCCUCAGCAGAAAGGAUUCUGCUCCCUGCUGGGCUUUACAAUUGUCACAUUAAAAUCCAGAAAGUGAAAGAGGCUUUUCACUGCCACUUCUGCAGAGGCUGAACUAUGAUGUCAUAUGAGGUGGUGCAGCAAAUGUGUGAUAGCUCAGAAUGACACCUUCUGACAGUAUGCGAGUGAACACAAGGAAUGUGCGAAAGGAGAAGGGAGUGGAGAGGGUUGCUGGACAUAGCUUUGCCUGAGCAGGGCUAUUUUGCACUAAUUUGGCUGUGUGUGUGUGUUUCAAAUAAUGAUUUACAGGGCUAUUAGCGGGCACUAAUGAGAUGUCGCUCUCUGGCAUGUAUGUUCUUUUGAGAGAGAAUAAUACUGAACUCCAUUGCUCAAUGAUCUUAAGUGGAGAGUGGGGGAGAGACUGAAUGAUUUAUAUGUUCAUCCUUGUUCUGCAGCUUCCUUUGUGACUCCUGGAGUAAAGUUAAUCUCAUCUUUCAGCAAGUAAAUGUCAGCAUCUCUAGUUUACUUCAUCAGACGCAUGCAGUGGAAAACGUAUUUUCCACUGCAUGCAUCGGAUGAAGUGAGCUGUAGCUCACGAAAGCUUAUGCUCAAAUAAAUUUGUAAGUCUCUAAGGUGCUACAAGUACUCCUUUUCUUUUUGCAGAUACACACUAACACGGCUGCUACUCUGAAACAUCUCUUGCUGUUACCUCUAAAUCAUACUUUUCCACCCUGCUUUAUGAGGAAAGUGCUACUGAGAUGCUGCUUAUCUUGAGCAACAGAUUACUGCAUUGUAGAGCUUGGCUCUACUUCUUGGAGCAAGGGGCCAAAUUACAGUCAUUCUGCAGGGUCCAGGAUCCGUGAGCGUGAGGGCAAAGGAAUGGCAGGGGUUACUGCAUCUUCCUCUGCCCCUCUCCUCCACCCAGCCCGGGGAACUCUUGGAAAAGUUAAUGCAAACCACAGCUGUAUUACCAUGUGACAGCAUUUCCCCAUCACUGGUUGAACCUCGGGGAACCUGGCUCCAUUUGAGCUGUGAUGUUGUUGAGGAGGAGUAGGGAGCCUCCGAGCCUGUGCAGAGGCAAAGGGCUGGGUGACCCUGGUCCUGAGGAACUCGAUAGGGAUUUGGGGAUGGAUCAUUUCCUUGCUUCUUUGCAGGGUAACUGAAUGCGUGGAACCCCCUUCUUGUGCGGUGUUUGGAGAAAACUCCCCAAGAGGAGCCGCAGAGUUGCCCUACCCCACCACAAGUUUCCUUGCAGGAGGACACAAUCUGGUCCAAGUAUAAUCCAAAAUUAGGCUGUGCCAAUCACUCACCAUUUUGACAAGUAAAACUCAUAGAGUCGGACUGGACAUCUCAGAGGGUUAUCUGUGUUUUCAGCCAUUUCCACUGCUGUUGGAACCUCCUCGUCCUCACUCCGUUUCCUUUUUCCUACAGAUAACUUAUCUGGAUACAGGAAAAUGACACCACAUGAGCUCAGUGGAGAACAGUCCUCCUCUGUGAGAGUAAGCUGAAGCUGUUUGGUUUAGUUCUGCACCCUGAUGGGGCUUUGAGCAGCGCAUACAUGACGUGCUGUUUGAUAGGAUCGCUUUUCACGCAAACUGACACUGCCAAGUCAAACACUGGAAACAACUUUGUCAAAUGAAUGCCAUCACUUGUGUCGCUGACAGUUAAAAAGGAGCCCAACAUAAUAGAAAGGAUCUGUUUCUACACAGAUUUAAAUGCUGGAUCAGGAUAAUGUAAUGGCUUAAAAAAUAUUUAGUUUCACCUUGUUAAUGCUGGUUUAUAGGGACUGAUAAGAGCCCUUGCCCCCAUCCACAGCUCAAGUGCUAGAACACCAUCGUACCAGUGCACGGUCAUCCUCGGUGUGCCCGUUCCCCAUCUACCUCAGAGUGUGUACAUCCUUUCAAAGACAGAUCCACUUACCAGCCACUAUCCUUUUCUCCCCCAUCUCCUUCUGCUGCACCUUCAGAGCAGACACCCCCCACUGCUUUUAAUAGUAGUUAUAUAAAAAUGAAAUAAAGAUCUACCACGCAGUA